rnacentral:tRNA from 1 species
GGGAAAGUAGCUCAGUGGUAGAGUACUUGCUUUGCAUGCAAGAGGCCCUGGGUUCAAUUCCUCAGCACCA